GUAAAUGCAACCCUUAGAAAUAAUCUUUCUAGCUUUAAGACAAGCGACAAACUGACCCUUAGGCAUAGAAUUUCCCUCUUCCACUCUAGGAUCGGCUCAUUCGGAAACUGAAACUUGACUACACAUGUUCUACUAUCAAUAGAAGCAUAACAUGAGUGCAGCCAAUCCAUACCAAGUAUAACAUCAAAAUCUAGCAUAUAAAGCUCGACAUUGGACGUGGCCUGCCCGCAUAGUCUGUGGUUUGCACUCUUUAAACGAGCGACAUCGCAUGCGACGACAUCUGUGUGCUCCAGACACUGGCCUAUGGGCUCCACAUUUGACCCGUCUUUAAACACCGACCAAGGAGUCUGACAUGUGUCCGAGUCAACGGGCUAGUAAAUUCAUAAGGCGUAAGGAAUCUGAUUGGUGGGAUCCCCCUGAGGGGUGCACCGCCGACCAACCUUGAUCUUCUGAGAAGGGUUCGAGUGUGAGCAUACCUGUUGGGACCCGAAAGAUGCUGAACUAUGCCUGAGUGAGGUGAAGCCAAAGCAUACUCUGGUGGAGGCCCGUAGCGAUACUGAUGUGCAAAUCGUUCAUCUGACUUGGGUAUAGGGGCGAAAGACUAAUCGAACUGUCUAGUAGCUAGUUCCCUUUGAAGUCUCCCUAAGAAUAGCUGGAGCUCGCGUGUGAGUUCUAUUGGGUAAAGACAAUGAUUAGAGGAUUCGUGAGCGCAACAGCCUUGACCUAUUCUCGAACUUUAAAUCAGUAGGACGGCGGGACUGCUUUGUCGAGCUGCACCACAAAAUCAGUAGCUCAAAGUGGACCAUUUUUUGUAAACUGAACUGGCGUUGCGGGAUGAACGGAAAGUCGCCUUAUGGUGCCAAACUGCACUCUAACCAAGAUCCAACAAAGGUUGUUGGUCGAUUAAGACAGCAGGAAGGUGGUCAUCGAAGUCCAAAUCCGCUAAGGAGUGUGUACCAAUUCAGCAGCCGAGUAAACUAACCCCGAAAAUAGAUGGCGCUUAAGCGCGAGACCUACACCCAGCCGUCAGGGCAAGUGCCAGACCCUGAUGAGUUGGAGGGAAUAGCGGUCACGGCAAAACCUUGGGCAUGAGCCUGGGCGGAGCAGCCGUUAAUGCAGAUCUUUGUGGUAGUAGCAAAUUUUCAAAUGAGAACUUUGAAGGGUGAAGAGGGGAAAUGUUCAAUGUGAAUGGCACUAGCACAUGGGUUAGUCGAUCCUAUGGGUCGAGGGAACCCCGACAGAUAAUGCAUUUCGCGCGUACCCCGAAAGGGAACCGAGUUAAGAAUCCUGAAUUGGGACGUGGCAGUUGACGACAACGUUUGGAAGUCGGGAGACGUCGGUGGGAGCCUCGGGAAGAGUUGUCUUUUGCCGUUUCACAUCAUGCCCACCAUGGAAUCGGCUCUGCCGGAGGUUGGGUCCAACGGCUGGAAGAGCACCACACGUCACGUGGUGUCCGGUGCGCUCUCGGCGAUCCUUCAAAAUCCAGAGGACAGAAUGUUGUCCACGCUCAGUCAUACUCAUAACCGCAUCAGGUCUGCAAGGUGAACAACCUCUAGUUGAUGGAACAAUGUAGGCAAGGGAAGUCGGCAAAAUGGAUUCGUAACUUCGGGAAAAGAAUUGGCUCUGAGGGUUUGGCAUGGGUGUCCUAGUUCCGAACCCACUGGCUGUCGGUGGACUUCUUGAGCGGAUCCCGCAGAAAUAGCGGGUCGCCGUGUGCCGGCCGGGGGAAGAACUGGGAACGGUUCCUUCGGGGGCCUUCCCCGGGAGUCAAACAGCUAACUCAGAACUGGUAUAGACAAGGGGAAUUCGACUAUUUAAUUUUAACAAAGCAUUGCGAUGGUCCCAACGAAUGUUUACCCAAAGUCAUUUUUAUCCAGUGCUCUAAAUGUCAAAGUGAAGAAAUUCAACCAUGCGGGGGUAAACGACCGGAGUAACUAUGACUCUCUUAAGGUAGCCAAAUGCCUCGUCAUCUUAUUAGUGAUGCGCAUGAAUGUAUUAACAAGAUUCCCACUGUCCCUGUCUAAUAUACAGCGAAACAACAGCCAAGCGAACAGGCUUGGCAGAAUCAGUGGGGAAAGAAGACCCUAUUGAGCUUGAGUCUAGUCCGACUUUAUGAAAUGACUUCAGAGGUGUAGUAUAAGUAGGAGUCGUAAGGCGAAAAUGAAAUACCACCACUUUUAACGUUAUUUUACUUAUUCCGUGAAUCGGAAGCGGGGAACUACAACUAUUUUGGACCCAAGGCUUGCUUCGCGGGUCGAUCCGGGGAAUGCAACCCAAAUCGGGCGGUGAAUUUCGUCCUAGGCUAAAUACAGGUGAGAGACUAAUAACGAACAAGUACCACGAGGGAAAUAUUAAAAGGAAUUUGAAAAGAGAGUCAAAGAGUGCUUGAAAUUGUCGGGAGGGAAGUCGAUGGAGGCUGACAAUGCACCCCGGUCGGAUGUGGAACGGUGACGAGCUGGUCCACCGAUCGACUCGGGGGGAACUAUGCCUGAGCGGGGGGAAGCCAAGGUCAUGGAUAGGAUAAUUCUUCAUAUGAAUCUUAAGUUGCCUUGAGGCAUAGGCAACAACUUUCCCAUUUUGCAUAAGCACACACCCUAACCCAAUUCUUGAGUCAUCACAAUAAACCACAAAACCAUCAGGCCCUUCCAAUAAAUUCAACACCGGAGCAGAAGUAAGUCUAUCCUUCAACUCUUGAAAACUCUUCUCACACUUUUCAGACCAUAUGAACUUGGCCUUCUUUGGUGUCAAAGGAGAGGCAAUUGAAGAGAAUCCCUCAAAAAAUCUUCUAUAGGAUCCGGCUAAACCCAAGAAACUUCUAAUUUCUGAAGGAGUUAGAAGUCUAGGCCAACUCUUGACCACAUCUGUCUUCUUAGGAUCUACCUCAAUACCCUUUGUUGAAAUAAUAUGACCAUGAAAAGCUAAGAAUCUUAGAUAAAACUUACAUUUCCUAAAAUUCGCAAAGAGUUGUUGGUCGAUUAAGACAGCAGG
rnacentral:rRNA from 1 species